GAGAUUUCUGGAACAGUGCUUUCAAAAUUUG
rfam:Xenopus laevis strain J chromosome 5L, whole genome shotgun sequence.